rnacentral:rRNA from 1 species
CCCUUAGAUGUUCUGGGCCGCACGCGUGCUACACUGAGUGGAUCAGCGGGUCAGGUUGCGCGAAAGUGUUUCCUAAUCUUUAAAUCCGCUCGUGAUGGGGAUUGACGGUUGCAAUUUUCCGUCAUGAACGAGGAAUACCUUGUAAGCGCGGGUCAUCAUCCCGCGCUGAAUACGUCCCUGCCUUUGUACACACCGCCCGUCGCUCCUACCGAUUGAGUGGUCCGGUGAGGCUUUGGGAUCUGAGCGGAAAGAGCGUUUCGCUGUUUCUGCCCGGAAAACUCAGUCGAACCUUAUCAUUUAGAGGAAGGAGAAGUCGUAACA